rnacentral:rRNA from 1 species
GACGAACGCUGGCGGCGUGCUUAACACAUGCAAGUCGAACGGAAAGGCCCUGCUUUUGUGGGGUGCUCGAGUGGCGAACGGGUGAGUAACACGUGAGUAACCUGCCCUUGACUUUGGGAUAACUUCAGGAAACUGGGGCUAAUACCGGAUAGGAGCUCCUGCUGCAUUGUGGGGGUUGGAAAGUUUCGGCGGGUGGGGAUGGACUCGCGGCUUAUCAGCUUGUUGGUGGGGUAGUGGCUUACCAAGGCUUUGACGGGUAGCCGGCCUGAGAGGGUGACCGGCCACAUUGGGACUGCGAUACGGCCCAGACUCCUACGGGAGGCAGCAGUGGGGAAUAUUGCACAAUGGGCGGAAGCCUGAUGCAGCAACGCCGCGUGCGGGAUGACGGCCUUCGGGUUGUAAACCGCUUUCGCCUGUGACGAAGCGUGAGUGACGGUAAUGGGUAAAGAAGCACCGGCUAACUACGUG